rnacentral:rRNA from 1 species
UCCGGUGACGAUAGCGAAGGGGAAACACCUGUACCCAUUCCGAACACAGAAGUUAAGCCCUUCAGCGCCGAUGGUACUAGAGGGGGGACCCUCUGGGAGAGUAGGACGUUGCCGGAA